rnacentral:lncRNA from 1 species
GCAGAACCGAUUGCUUGUUUAUUUUUGGGGAGAAAUCCCUGCACAUUUGGCCAUAGAAGUCUUCUGUGUUGAUUUUUGUGGGGUGAGAGUAGAAAAAGCAUUUUGGGUUUUAUGGGAGUUUUUUUCUACUUUUACAGCCCCAAACAGGAGUGGGGGUUGUAGGGAAGAGGUGGGCGGAGCCUACUGCAAGUUGCAGGGCUAUAUCCAAGCUCUGCUGGGAGGGGAUCGUGUGCACUUGUCCUGGGAGGGGGUCCUGGCACAGGAGCCAGCACCAAAGGGUGACAGUUCUUACCCUUACCCCACAGGGCAAGUGGGGUAAAGACAUGCUCUAAGCUUGUCUGGCAAACCGGCUAAUCCUCCUGCACACCGAACCUUAGGGUCUCCGCCACCCUCCCCUACAGCAGGCACUUGGCAUCUGGUGCACAUGAAGGGGCAUCUGAAGACCUCGUCUCCAGGGCAUCCCCAGCCACCACACCAGAGGUGCCAGGUGUGGCCAGCUUGGUGUGGCUGCCAGUGGAAAGUAACAGCCCCACCACUGGCAGAACCCAGGUAAGACCCCGAGCAGUGAGCCCCUCAUGAAACCCCCACCCCGUUUUUUCUUUUUCUUUUUUUUGAGAUGAAGUCUCCACCCAGGCUGGAGUGCAGAGGCACGAUCUCGACUCACUGCAACCUUCGCCUCCCGGGUUCAAGCGAUUCUCUCGCCUCAGCCUCCCGAGUAGCUGGGAUUACAGGCACCCGUCACCACGCCCAGUGAAUUCUUGUAUUUUUAGUAGAGACAGUUUCACCAUUUUGGCCAGGCUGGUGUUGAACUCCCGAGCUCAGGUGAUCCUCCCACAUCGGCCUCCCAAAGUGCUGGGAUUACAGGCGUGAGCCACCGUGCCCGGCCCCCUCACCCCAUUUCACAAAACUUAAGUGUGUGGACACUAAAAUAGUUUCCUUCUGACAUUUCUGAUUGCAAAAUUGUGCAUGAACUGAUUGAAGCUGAUCUUUUCCCUCCCCACCCUUCUAUUUUUGUCCCUCCUUUCCUGGUUCAGCUGGGCCCUUUUAAAAACACUGAAGGCUCCACUCCAUGUCAUACCAAAUACAUUUCAAUGCCCGCCCCCCCCAACAUCAAAUGCAAU